GACGAACGCUGGCGGCGUGCUUAACACAUGCAAGUCGAACGGAAAGGCCCUGCUUUUGUGGGGUGCUCGAGUGGCGAACGGGUGAGUAACACGUGAGUAACCUUCCCUUGACUUUGUGAUAACUUCAGGAAACUGGGGCUAAUACCGGAUAGGAGCUCCUGCUGCAUGGUGGGGUUUGGAAAGUUUCGGCGGUUGGGGAUGGACUCGCGGCUUAUCAGCUUGUUGGUGGGGUAGUGGCUUACCAAGGCUUUGACGGGUAGCCGGCCUGAGAGGGUGACCGGCCACAUUGGGACUGAGAUACGGCCCAGACUCCUACGGGAGGCAGCAGUGGGGAAUAUUGCACAAUGGGCGGAAGCCUGAUGCAGCAACGCCGCGUGCGGGAUGACGGCCUUCGGGUUGUAAACCGCUUUCGCCUGUGACGAAGCGUGAGUGACGGUAAUGGGUAAAGAAGCACCGGCUAACUACGUG
rnacentral:rRNA from 1 species